UGCAGCACGGUCUGGACGCAUUGGAAGUUCCUCACGUCCCAGAUCUUUACGUUGCGGUUGACGUCUGCUGUGAUCAGCUGGGGGGUCCCCGGCACGGACACGACGUUCACGAGGGGGUGCAGGUGCCCCGAUAGGCGAAAG
rnacentral:sRNA from 13 species